UGACUGUUGAGGAAACUUUAUUUGAGUUGC
rnacentral:piRNA from 1 species